CAUAGCUCAGUUGGAUAGAGCAUCUGCCUUCUAAGCAGAGUGUCGUAGGUUCGACUCCUACUG
rnacentral:tRNA from 1 species